GAAAAAAGUGUGCAACAGAAGUCUAUGAUCCCAAACACGCCAGCAGUGACUGAAAAAGAGAUCAAUGUGUUGCAACGGUCCAGUCAAAGUCCAGGCCUCAACCUAUUUGAAACAAUGUGGGAGAACCUUCAUUCAUCCAUCCAAGCAUCCAUCCAGCUCAUCGAGGCUAAAAAUCUGGUCCUCUGUUCCAUGACAGUCAAACUGGGAGGAGAUGAUGGCUGAAAAAUGAGGAAAAACCCAAAACUAUAUCCUGAUCAGAACCAGGAAGCUGUUAAGAACAGGCGAAUAAAAGUUUUUUAAGUGG